GCAGUUUGACUGAGGUUGGAGCGCUAGCAAUAGCUCAUUUCCAUCGAACCGAGGAUCGUCGUUUCUUCAUAAGGCGGGUUAGUUCAGGGCGGAGUGGCAGACCAUCUAUUGUUACCAGAGAGCACAUAGACGUCCUUAUGAAGCAAGGACAUACAAUCAAAAAAAAG